rnacentral:sRNA from 1 species
CCUACUGUUUAAACUUUAAGAUGAUCCCUAACUGGCUUAAAGUCCUCAACCCACAGUGGAGGAAAACGUUGCAAAAAAAAAAAAAACAAGGUCAUGCUACAUUUUUUUGGUAAGCACAGGAAUCAACAUAGAGAUGUUAUAUAACUUCUAUUUAUAUCCUCCUUGCUCACUAUGUGCAGGCAGACAAGAGUCGCUGAGAAGGGAUUUAAUGAGCUCUCUGGGUUUGCUCACCUUCCUGAGCUGGUAGGAACCAGCUUGUUCUCAAGUGCGUCAGCAAAGAAUCUGCCUGUGGGUGGGCGGCCAGGGUAGGUGGACAGACUUGUUGCCAUGGUGUUCUUUAAUUCCCCUGUCUCUCAG